UACGUAGGGUGCAAGCGUUGUCCGGAAUUAUUGGGCGUAAAGAGCUCGUAGGCGGUCUGUUGCGUCGGCUGUGAAAACCUGGGGCUCAACCCCGGGCCUGCAGCCGAUACGGGCAAGCUAGAAUUCGGUAGGGGAGACUGGAAUUCCUGGUGUAGCGGUGAAAUGCGCAGAUAUCAGGAGGAACACCGGUGGCGAAGGCGGGUCUCUGGGCCGAUAUUGACGCUGAGGAGCGAAAGCGUGGGGAGCGAACAGG
rnacentral:rRNA from 1 species